UAACGCGUGAGGAACCUGCCUCAAAGAGGGGGACAACAGUUGGAAACGACUGCUAAUACCGCAUAAGCCCACGGCUCGGCAUCGAGCAGAGGGAAAAGGAGUGAUCCGCUUUGAGAUGGCCUCGCGUCCGAUUAGCUAGUUGGUGAGGUAAUGGCCCACCAAGGCGACGAUCGGUAGCCGGACUGAGAGGUUGAACGGCCACAUUGGGACUGAGACACGGCCCAGACUCCUACGGGAGGCAGCAGUGGGGAAUAUUGCACAAUGGGGGAAACCCUGAUGCAGCGACGCCGCGUGGAGGAAGAAGGUCUUCGGAUUGUAAACUCCUGUUGUUGAGGAAGAUAAUGACGGUACUCAACAAGGAAGUGACGGCUAGCUACGUGCCAGCAGCCGCGGUAAAACGUAGGUCACAAGCGUUGUCCGGAAUUACUGGGUGUAAAGGGAGCGCAGGCGGGAGAACAAGUUGGAAGUGAAAUCCAUGGGCUCAACCCAUGAACUGCUUUCAAAACUGUUUUUCUUGAGUAGUGCAGAGGUAGGCGGAAUUCCCGGUGUAGCGGUGGAAUGCGUAGAUAUCGGGAGGAACACCAGUGGCGAAGGCGGCCUACUGGGCACCAACUGACGCUGAGGCUCGAAAGUGUGGGUAGCAAACAGGAUUAGAUACCCUGGUAGUCCACACCGUAAACGAUGAUUACUAGGUGU
rnacentral:rRNA from 1 species